UUGACAUCUGCAAUUCGUUAACAACAAGAAAAAUUACACAAUCUCCAAGCUCACCCGAACUAACCAAUUAUAUUGGCGAUUUCUUCGAGAGAUCUUCGAUUCGAGCUUCAAUUUUCGUUUUCGCGCUUGGUUAGGAGGCCAAUUUGAUUGGAGAUUUCCAUUUUUCGUGCGCAAUGGAUUCUGCUACAUUAGCCGUGUCAUCGUCCGUCAUUGUGCGUAGUUCGUCGCUAAAAUUGUUUUCGAGUAGAAGGAUUCAAGCGGAGUUGUGUUUUGAAAGGAGAAAGUUCUCCAAGAUCUUCGCGGUCUAUCCUAAUGGCUCUGCUUCUAGGGGGGAUUCUUCAGGUGCAGAUGUUCAUAGACGAAGAAGUACUUCUGAAACUCUGUUUUGCUAUGAUAAGGCUAUCCCAGAGGAAAGAAUCGAGACGCCAGUUGGAAUAUCUCUGGCCGAGAAAAUGAUUGGAGAUAAUCCUCGAUGCUCUGAAUGCCAUGCUAAAGGUGCUGUUCUUUGCACAACUUGCUCCGGUUCGGGUUUGUAUGUUGACUCAAUAUUGGAGAGCCAGGGAAUCAUUGUGAAAGUUCGUUGCCUGGGUUGUGGUGGAACUGGCAAUACCAUGUGUUCGGAAUGCGGUGGGCGUGGUCACCUGGGAUCUAAAUGAGUCGCAAAGACUCCUUUCCAAUGAAUUCUUCUUGAACUAUCCCCAGCUCUAAUAUUUGGACUUUGAUCAUGCAAUGAUGAGAUAUAUAUUAAUCUUGCAAUGUAGCAAAGAUCUAUAGUGUACAUUUUUCAUUUUAGGCAGUUUGUGGGAUAUCCUUAUCGAAGUUUGGCAAAAUUUUUCUUGAUUCAGUUCAAAUCAUUUCCAGUGUUCCCUUCCCACAGCAUUUGUACUUGUAAGUCGAAUCGACAAGCCUUUUUUCGAACUAAAAGUUAUGGAAUGCAUGAAUUAUGAAGUCAGAAAUAUAUGUUCUUCUUUUAGUAGGUAUGAAGUUUAUUAUGUGCCUGAACAAAAGUUCUUCCCUGAACUUUUUAUUGAACUCUUGAACAAAAUCCGAAAGAAUACAAGAUUUGCAGGGAAAGAGAAGAAAAGAAGAUCAAAACUGCCAUUUUUGUUUCAGUAGAUUCCUCGGAAGACAUUUAUUUUUAUCAUGCCAGAUUUGAGGAAUGGUCUAAAUCUGCUUCUUCACUUGUUUUCAAGUUUAUGAUUUGAUUAACCUUGCAAUCUCCGCCGAAGGUCUCGAAUCUGCUCUGGCACGGUGGAGUCGAACCGAGGAUGCUGGGGAUUGUCUGCAUAAGCCACAUAGUAGGCAGAAACACAUGCUUGUGGCCACGCCAUUCCUAUCCGGCACUGCAAUUACAGAAGCCAUGAACAUUGUCAUCCAGAAGUUAAAUUGCUCUCAGAUUGCACCACCAGAAAGCCCGCAGAGAAAGCAGAAAGACACGACACCAACAUGGACGAACCCCCACCGGUUUCCACGGCUUCUCAGCAUUGAAGCGAUCGCCGAGUAGCAGUGUGCACAAGAGAAAAGGAACUCAUCUUGUUCUCCUGCUGCCAAUCUCAUGGCACGGGCAGAUCCCUGAAUGAAGCUGAUAAGGGGGUUGAUGGCUGAGCCAAGAGCAAUAGUUCCAAUCAAAUACUUCACUGUGCUGUAGAAAGCUUCUCGUAUGUUAUUUUCGCGUCCCCAAGCUAAAUUCAAGUACUUUAUGCGUGAGAUUGUUACUUGCACUAUGUUCUUAAUGACCUGCAGAGUCCAGGUUAGGCUCAACAGUAUUGCUGCUAUGAACAAUGCUUUAAAUCCAGACUUAACAGCAAUUGCUCCACCAAUGCCGAUGACCAAGAAAGAGGCGUAAAGAAUGCCAAUGACGAUCGAUCCAAUGACCAAGAUUGGAGUGUGCGACGGAGGGUAUAUAGUAGAAACUGAUAAAAGUUGAAUCGCAUAGUUCAACCGACGAUUGAUCCAACAGAGAUAUACCGACAGGCACAGGGAAAAAACUACGAGGAUCACUCCUGCUGCUAAACCACCUGCAGAUCCAACAAUGACAAAGAAAAUGGCAGAAGCGAGUAAUAGCACGGGGCUGAACCAUAAGGCUGUCUUGAAGGCCAUUGAAGGGGAGUAGCCAGUGAAGGCCUGCCAUGAAAAGGCAAUGAUUCCAGAGCUCCCAAUAGAAGCCAACAAUGGCGGAUACCACUUCUCUGGGAGAAAAUGAUGGGUUUUAGAAGCCGACCGAAGUCCCCGAACUGUCAAAACAAUCACCAACACAGCAACCAGGCAUAAAUGGACGUUGAAAACUAUGCUAGAAAGCCACCUGAAAAUUUUCCAUCCCACCGUAGGCUCUAUCGAAAGAUUCGGUUCUUGAAUCUGCAGCAACAGCCAACAAGAUUCAUUCAAAUACAUGUUUACGUCGUGCUGAUGCGGCGUGAUGAUGUGGCUGCACGAGGUAAUGGUGACGUGGAGCAUAGGAUAUCUUCCUGGUUUGUCUUUGCCCUUUUGUUACUGUUCUUGUGAUCCACCUCUCUUCAUAAAGGAAAAAGGGACUCUGCUUUCUGUGAUCUUUUUGUUCUUUUUUGUUCUUAGUUUUCAAUGAACUCAAAGUUGAACAAGUUAUAACUAAAACCUUUUCUUUUCUUGUUCGUUUAUUUGGGAUAGCUUAAGUGAUAAGAUUAGAGAGCUGUGAGGGAGAAACUAUGACUGCCAAAUCCACAAACGCCACGUGGCAGUCAGAUAGGUGGAUUUGCCCUUAAGCGUUUUCUCAUGUUAUAAAGCUGGAAAGUUUCAACCUUUUCA